GUCUUCCUACGGGGCGCAGCAGUGGGGGAUAUUGCACAAUGGGGGCAACCCUGAUGCAGCGACGCCGCGUGAGCGAUGGAGUACUUCGGUAUUUAAAGCUCUGUCAGCAGGGAAGAGAAUGACGGUACCUGACCAAGAAGCCCCGGCUAAAUACGUGCCAGCAGCCGCGGUAAUACGUAUGGGGCAAGCGUUAUCCGGAUUUACUGGGUGUAAAGGGGGCGCAGACGGCGAUGCAAGCCAGUAGUGAAAGCCCUGGGCC
rnacentral:rRNA from 1 species